rnacentral:rRNA from 1 species
UGAGGAAUAUUGGACAAUGGGGGCAACCCUGAUCCAGCCAUGCCGCGUGAGUGAAGAAGGCCCUAGGGUUGUAAAGCUCUUUCAAUCGUGAAGAUAAUGACGGUAGCGAUAGAAGAAGCUCCGGCUAACUCCGUGCCAGCAGCCGCGGUAAUACGGGGGGAGCGAGCGUUGUUCGGAAUCACUGGGCGUAAAGCGUGCGCAGGCGGAUUGACAAGUCAGAAGUGAAAUCCCGGGGCUCAACCCCGGAACUGCUUUUGAAACUGUCUUUCUAGAAUAUGAUAGAGGUUGGGAGAAUUCCUAGUGUAGAGGUGAAAUUCGUAGAUAUUAGGAGGAAUACCAGUGGCGUAGGCGCCCAACUGGAUCAUUAUUGACGCUCAGGCACGAAAGCGUGGGGAGCAAACAGGAUUAGAUACCCCCGUAGUCC